UACGGAGGGAGCUAGCGUUGUUCGGAAUUACUGGGCGUAAAGCGCACGUAGGCGGCUUUGUAAGUUAGAGGUGAAAGCCCGGGGCUCAACCCCGGAAUUGCCUUUAAGACUGCAUCGCUUGAAUCCGGGAGAGGUGAGUGGAAUUCCGAGUGUAGAGGUGAAAUUCGUAGAUAUCGAGAGGAACACCAGAGGUGAAGACGGGUUGCUGGGCCGACACUGACGCUGACAGCGCGAAAGCCAGGGGAGCAAACGGG
rnacentral:rRNA from 1 species